rnacentral:rRNA from 1 species
UGGGCAACCUGCCCUCAGCUCUGGGAUAACUCCGGGAAACCGGGGCUAAUACCGGAUACGACCUUCCCUCGCAUGGGGGUUGUUGGGAGGUUCUUCGGCUGAGGAUGGGCCCGCGGCCUAUCAGCUUGUUGGUGGGGUGAUGGCCUACCAAGGCGACGACGGGUAGCCGGCCUGAGAGGGCGACCGGCCACACUGGGACUGAGACACGGCCCAGACUCCGUACGGGAGGCA